rnacentral:tRNA from 1 species
GGCCCCUUGGUCAAGUGGUUAAGACACCGCCCUUUCACGGCGGCGACACGGGUUCGAAUCCCGUAGGGGUCACCA